rnacentral:rRNA from 1 species
GACGAACGCUGGCGGCGUGCUUAACACAUGCAAGUCGAACGGAAAGGCCUGCUUUCCCUUGUGGAUUGCGGGUACUCGAGUGGCGAACGGGUGAGUAACACGUGAGUGAUCUGCCCCCAACUUGGGUAUAAGCCUGGGAAACUGGGUCUAAUUCCCGAUAGGACUGCAGGGUGGUGCCUGUGGUGGAAAACGAUUUUCUAGUGGUUGGGGAUGAGCUCGCGGCCUAUCAGCUUGUUGGUGGGGUAAUGGCCUACCAAGGCGGCGACGGGUAGCCGGCCUGGGAGGGUGGACGUCGGCAUUGGGACUGGGAUACGGCCCCGACUCCUACGGGCGGCAGCAGUGGGGAAUAUUGCGCAGUGAGCGGAAGCCUGAUGCAGCGACGCCGCGUGGGGGAUGACGGCCUUCGGGUUGUAAACUCCUUUCGACCGCGAGGAAGCCACCUGGUUGGAAGGGUGGUGACGGUAGUGGUAGAAGAAGCACCGGCUAACUACGUG